UAACACUUCAUGACUGAGAGCAGAACAGAACACAAUCUUCAUCAUCACACAAGACACAACAACAACAAUGAACAACAUCAUCAUCCUCAUCUGGACCACUGCAGCUUUUAUUCAAGAAUCCAGAGGAGUCACUGUGACUCAGCCUAAAGUUAAAACUGUCCAGCUCGGUCAAACAGCUUCAGUAGAGUGUAGUACAGAUCCAGGAAUAUACUAUAGCAACUUAGCCUGGUAUCAGCAGAAACCUGGAGAAACUCCUAAACUCCUCAUAUAUCAAAUCAACACCCUCCAGUCAGGAACUCCAUCUAGAUUCAGUGGCAGUGGAACUAGCAACGGAAAAGAUUUCACUCUCACCAUCAGUGGAGUCCAGACUGAAGAUACAGGAGAUUAUUACUGUCAGAGUUACCACUGGAUCAACAGUAAAGGUGUGUUCACACAGUGAUAAAGAGUCGUACAAAAACCUCCGUCAGUCAGAGUCACAGUGACUUCACUGAUACAGCUGAGAGACACUGCAGCUGCUGAUGAGAGGAUCACAAACAACACAAUGAAUGUCAGUGUAUCAUGCAUUUCACAGACUAUUUAUUUAUAUAAUAUAAUUAUAUAUCACUUACUAGAUUUG